CUCAUUUAAAAGUUGAUCAUACUGCAGCACAGCUUGCAGGAUUCUGCGGUAUGGUGUUGAUAUCCAGCAAGCAGCAGAGCAGACCCYAGUUCACUUUGGGUACAGAAAUGGCCAUGGGAGUACAACAUGACUGAGAGCCAAAACUUCACUUCACAUCGUCAUUUGCAUACCAUCAGAGAUCCUCAUCUACAGUAGACCAGCCAGGUCUACUAACCACCGGUCCUGGCAAACCAUCAUUACGCAC